rnacentral:rRNA from 1 species
GACGAACGCUGGCGGCGUGCUUAACACAUGCAAGUCGAACGGAAAGGCCCUGCUUUUGUGGGGUGCUCGAGUGGCGAACGGGUGAGUAACACGUGAGUAACCUGCCCUUGACUUUGGGAUAACUUCAGGAAACUGGGGCUAAUACCGGAUAGGAGCUCCUGCUGCAUGGUGGGGGUUGGAAAGUUUCGGCGGUUGGGGAUGGACUCGCGGCUUAUCAGCUUGUUGGUGGGGUAGUGGCUUACCAAGGCUUUGACGGGUAGCCGGCCUGAGAGGGUGACCGGCCACAUUGGGAUUGAGAUACGGCCCAGACUCCUACGGGAGGCAGCAGUGGGGAAUAUUGCACAAUGGGCGGAAGCCUGAUGCAGCAACGCCGCGUGCGGGAUGACGGCCUUCGGGUUGCAAACCGCUUUCGCCUGUGACGAAGCGUGAGUGACGGUAAUGGGUAAAGAAGCACCGGCUAACUACGUG